ensembl:lncRNA
ACUAGGCUACCUGCCUCCCCAACGCUCUAACCACUAGGUCACCUGCCACCCCAACGCUCUAACCACUAGGCUACCUGCCUCCCCAACGCUCUAACCACUAGGCUACCUGCCGCUCUAACCACUAGGUUACCUGCCGCCCCAACGCUCUAAGUUACCUGCCUCCCCAACACUGUAACCACGAGGCUAUCUGCCACACCAACGAUCUAACCACUAGGUUACCUGCCUCCCCAACACUGUAACCACUAGGCUAUCUGCCACACCAACGAUCUAACCACUAGGUUACCUGCCACCUCAAUGCUCUAACCAUUAGGUUACCUGCCUCCCCAACGCUCGAACCACUAGGCUACCUACCACCCUAUAACACUGUAACCACUAGGCUAUCUGCCACCCCAACGAUCUAACCACUAGGCUACCUGCCGCCCCAACGCUCUAACCACUAGAUUACCUGCCGCUCUAACCACUAGGUUACCUGACUCUCCAACACUCUAACCACUAGGCUAACUGCCUCCCCAACGUUCUAACCACUAGGCUACCUGCCGCCCCAACGCUCUAACCACUAGAUUACCUGCCGCCCCAUCGCUCUAACCACUAGGUUACCUGCUGCUCUAACCACUAGGCUACCUGCCGCUCUAACCACUAGGCUACCUGCCGCUCUAACCACUAUGUUACCUGCCUACCUAAUGCUCUUACCACUAGGCUACCUGCCGCCACAUCGCUCUAACCACUAGGCUACCUGCCGCUCUAACCACGAGGUUACCUGCCGCCCCAACGCUAUAACCACUAGGCUACCUGCCGCUCUUACCACUAGGCUACCUGCCGCCCCAACGCUCUAAUUACUAGGCUACCUGCCGCUCUAACCACUAGGCUACCUGCCGCCCCAACGCUCUAGGCUAUCUGCCACAACAACGAUCUAACCACUAGGCUACCUGCCUCCCCAACGCUCUAACCACUAUGCUACCUGCCACCCCAACGCUUUAACCAUUAGGCUACCUGCCUCCCUAACGCCCUCACCACUAGGCUACCUGUCUCCCCAACGCUCUAACCACUAGGCUACCUGUCUCCCCAACGCCCUAACCACUAGGCUACCUGCCUCCCCAACGCCCUAACCACUAGGCUACCUUUCUCUCCAACACUCUAACCAUCAGGCUACCUGCUGCCCCAAUGCUCUAACCACUAGGCUACCUGCCGCUCUAACCACUAGGUUACCUGUCACCCCAACGCUCUAACCACUAGGCUACCUGGCUCCCCAACGCUCUAACCACUAGGCUACCUGCCGCCCCAACGCUCUAACCACUAGGCUACCUGCCUCCCCAACGCUCUAACCACUAGGCUAACUGCCUCCCCAACGCUCUAACCACUAGGCUACAUGCCUCCGCAAUGCUCUAACCACUAGGCUACCUGCCUCCCCAACGCUCUAACCACUAGGUCACCUGCCACCCCAACGCUCUAACCACUAGGCUACCUGCCUCCCCAACGCUCUAACCACU